CCUACGGGGGGCUGCAGUGGGGAAUAUUGGGCAAUGGAGGCAACUCUGACCCAGCAACGCCGCGUGAAUGAUGAAGGUCUUCGGAGUGUAAAGGUCGGUGAUGGGGGAGGAACACAAUGACGGUACCCCAAUAGCAAGCAACGGCUAACUACGGGCCAGCAGCCGCGGUAAUACGUCGGGAGCAAGCGUUAUCCGGAUUUACGGGGUGUAAAGGGCGGGUAGGCGGGCAUGCAAGCCAGAAGGGAAAUCGGGGGGCUUAACCCCCCAACUGCUUUUGGAACUGCGUGUCUUGAGUGAUGGAUCGGCAGGCGCAAUUCCCAGUGUAGCGGUUAACUGCGUAGAUAUUGGGAGGAACCCCAGUGGCGAAGGCGGCCUGCUGGACAUUACCUGCCGCUGCGGCGC
rnacentral:rRNA from 1 species